ACAUGAAGGAUGGUCAGUGAGGUUAGCCCUACAGGAACGAUGGGUUAUACUGUAUGAAGGAUGGUCAGUGGGGUUAGCUGUACAUGAAGGAUGGGUUAUACUGUAUGAAGGAUGGUCAGUGGGGUUAGCUGUACAUGAAGGAUGGGUUAUACUGUAUGAAGGAUGGUCAGUGGGGUUAGCUGU